rnacentral:rRNA from 1 species
GGACUACCCGGGUUUCUAAUCCCGUUUGCUCCCCUAGCUUUCGCGCCUCAGCGUCAGUGUCGGUCCAGGAAGCCGCCUUCGCCACCGGUGUUCCUCCGGAUAUCUACGCAUUUCACCGCUACACCCGGAAUUCCGCUUCCCUCUCCCGAACUCAAGUCUCGCAGUAUCCUGUGCAGUUCCUCAGUUAAGCCGAGGGAUUUCACACAAGACUUACAAGACCGCCUACGCGCCCUUUACGCCCAGUAAUUCCGAACAACGCUUGCCACCUCUGUAUUACCGCGGCUGCUGGCAC